CAGAGUUCAUGCCCUUACGGGUAGAUCUCCCACCCUUUGAGUACUAUACUUUUGUUGCUUUGGCAGGCCGCUUCGGCUACCGGCUUCGGCUGGUGAGUGCCUGCCAGAGGACCCAAACUCGUUUGUUUAGUGAUGUCUGAGUACUAUAUAAUAGUUA
rnacentral:misc_RNA from 1 species